rnacentral:rRNA from 1 species
AGUGAACGCUGGCGGUAGGCCUAACACAUGCAAGUCGACCGGCAGCACAGGAGAGCUUGCUCUCUGGGUGGCGAGUGGCGGACGGGUGAGGAAUACAUCGGAAUCUACUUUUUCGUGGGGGAUAACGUAGGGAAACUUACGCUAAUACCGCAUACGACCUACGGGUGAAAGCAGGGGACCUUCGGGCCUUGCGCGAUUGACUGAGCCGAUGUCGGAUUAGCUAGUUGGCGGGGUAAAGGCCCACCAAGGCGACGAUCCGUAGCUGGUUUGAGAGGCUGAUCACCGACACGUGAACUGAGACACGGUCCCGACGCCUACUGGAGGCAGCAGUGGGGAAUGUUGGACAAUGGGCGCAAGCCUGAUCCAGCCAUACCGCGUGGGUGAAGAAGGCCUUCGGGUUGUAAAGCCCUUUUGUUGGAAAAGAAAUCCAGCUGGCUAAUACCCGGUUGGGAUGACGGUACCCAAAGAAUAAGCACCGGCUAACUUCGUGCCAGCAGCCGCCGUAA